rnacentral:lncRNA from 1 species
AUGAAGGAGCAGGAAGCCGCAGGCAGCCUCAGUGGGCCGGACCUCGCCCUCAGGUCAGCAGAGAGCUGCUGGCUCGACGGCCAGGGUCAGGAAAGCCCCUCGGGGCCCCGGGCAGCCAGGGGUGCUCUGAGCUCUCCCUCCACCUCUGCACGCCCAGCUGGUCCCGGCUGUGUCCUGCUGAGCGGGGCUCCAGCCACCUCCCCUCCAGACGGCACCUCCCGCCCGCCCCACAGCCCACGGACCCCGGCCCACUCACUGUGGCCUUGGCGGCACGGCGGCUGGCCUCUCCUGGCCUGGGCGACCUCGCUCACCAGCACGUCACAGCGGUGCUGGCCCCACCCCAGCCACCUGUCUUUCCUCCCGGGCCAGGGGAAUGCCGAGAAGGUGAAAAUGCCCCAUUUCCGCCUCAAGAAGCCCAGGUUCUCGGACUCUGGGGAGGAGGGGGCGGGGGAGGGGAGGAGCGGGUCGGAGAGGGGGUGGGGGGAGGGGCGGGCUGUCCCGCCAGGAAGCUCGCCCCUCGCCCCUCGGCCGCCCGGCGCCCUUCCCAGGGUAGAAUUUUCUUUACUACCUCCCAGAUUCCAGCGUGCAGCACAGAGGCGUGGGCCCUGGUGCCAUCUGCCUCGUCUGGCUUUUUGAUGGCAAUCCUAGCGACUGCUCCAGGCAGGCACACGCAUGCCUCCUUCGGUUGGUUUCUUUGUUUGUCUUUAGUCUUUUUACGGCCACACCCGUGGCACAUGGAGGUUCCCAGGAGAGGGGUCGAAUCAGAGCUGUAGCUGCUGGCUACAGCCACAGCCAACACAGGAUCCGAGCCUCGGCUGCGCCCUACACCAUAGCUCACGGCAACGCCGGAUCUUUAACCCACUGAGCGAGGCCAGGGAUCGAACCUGCAACCUCAUGGUUCCCAGUCAGAUUCGUUAACCGCUGAGCCACGACGGGAACUCUGCCUCCUUCAUCCUUUUCAUUACACAUUCUAAUCGUGACAGCAAUUCAACCUAUAGGCCAGUGGUAUAAACCGCCACCCAGAAACCUGUACACACAUGUUCAGCACCGCGUGAGUCACACCAGGCAAAUGUGGAAAUGACACAAACAGCCAUCAACUGGUGGGGGUCCGUCCGGUCAGCGGAGAAGGGCCAGCCAUGAAAAAACGGGACGCUGACAUACACUGGACCACGACGAAGCUGCCAACACAAUGCUGGGAGAAAGAAAAGGCCACUGGUGCAGCCGCCAAGGCAACAGUGUGAGGUUCCAUCAAAACCAGACGUAGGGGAGUUCCUGCCGUGGCUCAGGGGUUAAAGAACCCGACUGGCAUCCAUGAGGAUGCGGGUUCGACCCCCGACUCUGGUUUGAUCCCUGACCCUGGAACUUCCAUACGUUACGGGUGGGGCCAAAAAAGAACAAACAAAAUCCAGAAGUACAACUACCAUAUGAUUCAGCAAUCCGCUCCUAGGCAUAGACCCAGAAAGAAACCUUAAAAAUUCCAAAAAAUACAUGCACCCCUUUGUUCACAGCAGCACUAUUCUCAACAGCCAAGAUACAGAGACAACCCGAAAGUCCUUCGACAGAGGGGUGGAUCAAGAAGGUGAGCUGCAAGAGUUCCCGUUGUGGUGCAGUGGUUAACAAACCCAACUGGGAUCCA